rnacentral:lncRNA from 1 species
UUGCAUAUAAAUUGUUACCUAGGUGGCUAAAUAUGGGAAAGAUGUGGGAAAAAUACAUUGAUAUGUUCAUUAUUUUUUUGAUACAUAGCUGGUUUAAUUUUAUCUUGGCAAUUGCCUAGUUGCUUAGUUGAAUCAAGUAGAUUUUUAACAUUGAAUUCACACAAGAGUGACAUUAAAUCAGGAAUUGUCAUGCAUUUGAUAACCCUGGGAUAGGAAAGGAGAAAAAGAAAAGGAAAAACUUUGUUUUAGAACCUUUAAACUGGACUAGAUCAUCCUGUUGUUAAUGCAUGAUGUACUGGACUCCUUCCUGGAGCUGCCCUUUCUGCUAUGAUAUGCUCAGCCUGAACAAGGCUGAAUAUUAUGGUGGCAACUUUAACUAGAUUCUGUCAUUUGGAUCUAAAAUUUAUUAUUUUAGUUUAUGAACUUAGGCUAUCUAUCUAUUGCAGCAA